rnacentral:rRNA from 1 species
AACGUAGGAGACAAACGUUAUCCGGAGUUACUGGGCGUAAAGGGCGUGUAGGUGGUAAUGUAAGUCUGGCGUGAAAUUUUUCGGCUUAACCGGGAAAGGUCGUCGGAGACUGCAUAACUAGAGGACGGUAGAGGCGUGUGGAAUUCCGGGUGUAGUGGUGAAAUGCGUAGAGAUCCGGAGGAACACCAAAGGCGAAGGCAGUGUCCUGGGGAGUACCUGACGCUCAGGUGCGAAAGCCAGGGGAGCGAACGGG